GAGCGCGUGAUCCGAUUGGCCUCAACGGGGAGUUUGAUAGGCCACCGUACCGUGGUUUCAGCGGGUGAAACGUUACGUUGUAUGAGCGUUUUCAGUGGAUGAAACGUCACAAUAUCACAAAUUACGUUGUAUAAGCGUCUUCACAUCGGCUGCCACGUAACUAAUCUAUUCAUUCGCCAUCUUCAAUUUGCAUGAUUUGUAGCUUCCAAUAUAAUUCGUAAAUUUCCUUCCGGUUGCUACCUGGGUUGGAGGUGGAUUUAUUAAUGGCACUGCAGAAAUCGUGUACAGGGACGGCCUGGUGAAUUGUCAGGCUCCACUAGGCUAUUCUAUUAGCCUUAUUAUUGGUGACGUAAUGAGGCCUCGACGGAGAGUUUGAGUGUAUCUGGCAAAGCGCAAUCUGAAACUGAUAGGAUAGACAUUGAAAAUGGAAUCCCCCAUUUUUGACAUCGCUGGAGAUAGCAAACAGGAGAUG